CAUGUGUCAUGUCAAAACAGACAGCUAGUGUAGUAGCCAAAGCCCUACUCACUGAAAUAAUUCCAAAAUGGAGAAUUCCAACCAAAAUCUCAAGUAUAGUGGUUUGCAUUCAAAAUGCAACAUGCCUACCCCUGACAAGAGCUCUGCCUAUUGUACUGAGGGUUAUGAAAAUGUGCACGCGCAAGCAACUUAAUCUGUCAUCUUUUGAGAUUUUGUUUACAGCACCUCCACACAUUGGACUUGGGCGAGGAGGACACCCACCAGACACACCAUUGUGUGAGGACCAACUGGUAAUGUAUUAUGUAUUUUGUAAAAGA